UUUAAUAAUACUAAGAUAGUUACAAUUUAACAAAUAAAUACCUCUAAAAUAGUAGUAAAAUUAACAAUAAUAUAAAAGGUAUAGAAUAUUCGAACAAUAAUAACAAUAUAAUAGCAAUAUAAUAGCAAAAUUGUAGCAAAACAACAACAAAAUAGUUGAUUCGAUCUGGGCAUGGAAAAAAAAUCUUCCCAAUGUUGGAUCUGUUUAGAAAACAGACUUUAUUUUUUAGGCUUAUAUUUUUACCCAAUUUCUUCCACUUUCUGGAUGAACUUUCGGAUUUGGACAGGUGAUCGACCCAUGAUCAAGUCUAGUUUUGGUUAGGUUUUCUUUGAGGUUGUCUUUCAUGCUUUAGUUUCUCUUUACUUUAUGUUUCUCUUUCAAGUGUGAUGGUCUUAUCACCUCACCUUUUCGAAGAAGUAAAUCAAUUCUCACUGAAAUUGUCUAGCUUCCGAUUAGUUAACCUUCCUCCACCAUAAAGCAUUUCAAGCUUGUGGAGCAUUUGUAGGACGUUAAACGCAGCAUGAAGGCUAUUGUGGUUGGGGUGGCCUUCAUCUUUCUCAAUCACUUGGGAUUUUGAUGGGGUUCAUCUUCUUCCUACUCGACUUUUGGUGGUUGAUCUAGGAUUGUAUUGAGUUCCAUGUAUCUUAGCUGUUGUCCUUUGUUGUAAGCCAUUUAUGACAUUUGUUGCUAAAAUCAUCUGUGGUUUUUAUUUCAGUGUCAUCUAUGAUCAUUUUGGUUUGGUUGUUUGUGGCCUCAUUCAUUUAAGUUAUCUGUAAUUUAAUCUCUUUGAAUUGUUUGGUUGUCAUGUAAUUCCUACUCCGUCAAUGAAUAGUUUGCAAUGAAAAAGAAAAUAAUCCUAGCGAUUGAGUCUUAGUUUUGUCAACGCAGGAGGUCGUGGAUUUGAGUGCGCUGGAGUGCAUUAUCAUCUUAUUUAAGAGUUGAAAAGAAACAAUGCCUAAUUUUUAAGUAUUGUAUAAAAAAAAUCAUAUUAUUUUCACAAUGAAGGGUUUGAAAUGGAUUGGGUCUUGAAGGGUACAUAAAUGAAAACCCAAUAAAAGCUUGGGCUAUGAGAAAAAACCAAUGACCAUAGAAACCCAAACUCCUAGUUGGGAUUAGCUAUCACAUUGUUGGUGCAUUUUAGGUCAAAUUUUUGAUUUGGUCCCUCAACUACGCUAGUUAGAAUUUAGUCUUAAUAGUUAGUCCAAAUUACAUCUAAAGUGUUGACGUGGAAGGUUUUCAGGAAAAAAAAACCCA
rnacentral:lncRNA from 1 species